CAAAAACAGAUUGAACACGAAGACGACAGUUAGCAGAAGGGUAGCCACCACAGCCAGCGGUGCUAGGGGUUAUGCUAAGAAUAAACAGUGAUCAUUUCCUGUUGCAGUUGAGUGGCAGUCUAAAAGCCCCAUCCUGCUUUUAUUCUAAUAUGACGAUUUUACCAUCUCUGUCAAUAAACAGAUAUUUUUAGGCAGUAACUUACGGUGAAUAUAGAGAUGAAAAUUAAGGAGCAGUUAAGGGUUAGACAGUGAAUACAGAGACUGAUCAUGAAGGAGCAGGUAGGUGUUUGACAGUGAACACAGAGACUGAUCAUGAAGGAGCAGGUAGGGGUUUGACAGUGAACACAGAGACUGAUCAUGAAGGAGCAGGUAGGGGUUUGACAGUGAACACAGAGCAGGUCUUUAAGGAGCAGAUUGGCGAUCAACAGUGAAUACAGCGACGAGUGAUUAAAGGAGCAGUUAAGGGUUGGGCACACAUUACAGCGAUAGGUCAUUAAAGAGAAGUUAGGGGCUAGAAAGUGAAUACAGAGACAGGUCAUUAAGGAGCAGCUAGGCGGUGAGCCAGUGAUCAAACCUAGAUUUAUUUCUCCUUCUUUCGUCCUUCCAAUGUUGUAAUGUGUCUGAAUAUUAACCAGUGGGAUUUUUUUUUUUUUUUAAGCCCAGGGCUAGGUGAGUUUACGUAACCCGGAUUACCGCCAUAUCUAACUACACGCUUCACAAAGUAUUGAUGACACAUUAUUAACUGUGGGUCUUGGGGUUUAAAGUUUAAAGGAGCGAGGAACAUGAAAGCAAACACGGUCACACUACAGAGACUCCUGUUGCCCUCCCUGACUGCUCCCUGGCAUGGCUUUAAGAGAGAGAGAGAGAGAGAGAGAGAGAGAGAGAGAGAGA
ensembl:lncRNA